rnacentral:snoRNA from 1 species
GGGUGACGCCCCAAAGCUGAGGUGUUACCUGUUCCAACUUCCAAUCUUCCUAUAGAAUUUCUGUAGUUCCUUGCUUGUAGUGCUUCAGUGAGUGCCGCAGGUCAGGUAUAAAAUGAAAUCUUC